AAAGAAACCAACAAGGGAUUGCCCUAGUAACGGCGGAGUGAAGCGGCAACAGCUCAAAUUUGAAAUCUGGCUUCGGCCCGAGUUGUAAUUUGUAGAGGAAGCUUUAGGCGCGGCACCUUCUGAGUCCCCUGGAACGGGGCGCCAUAGAGGGUGAGAGCCCCGUAUAGUUGGAUGCCUAGCCUGUGUAAAGCUCCUUCGACGAGUCGAGUAGUUUGGGAAUGCUGCUCAAAAUGGGAGGUAAAUUUCUUCUAAAGCUAAAUACCGGCCAGAGACCGAUAGCGCACAAGUAGAGUGAUCGAAAGAUGAAAAGCACUUUGAAAAGAGGGUUAAAUAGCACGUGAAAUUGUUGAAAGGGAAGCGCUUGUGACCAGACUUGCGCCGGGCGGAUCAUCCGGUGUUCUCACCGGUGCACUCCGCCCGGCUCAGGCCAGCAUCGGUUCUCGCGGGGGGAUAAAGGUCCUGUGAACGUAGCUCCUCCGGGAGUGUUAAUAGCCCAGGGCCGUAAUGCCUUCGCGGGGACCGAGGUUCGCGCAUUUUGCAA
rnacentral:rRNA from 1 species